rnacentral:piRNA from 1 species
UGCAGUAGAUUCUGCACACAUCAUGUGCCA